CUUUGACAUGCUGAAUACACAGCUAUCAUAGAAAGGAAUAAUGUAGAGAUUUUCUCUUAUUAUGAAAUCAUGUUUGUGGCUUGAUACUCUUCUCUCACCCAACUAAGCAUAAUGUAUGACCUAAAGUGGUUCCAGCUUAUGUCACUGUCCUCUAGGUCUAGCCACGUGUAUCCUAUGGAAACAGCAAAGCAAAGCAAACAUUUUCUUCCAAAAAGCUCUGUCUUCUGAUCCUCAUUCCAAGAUUACCAAGUGUGAGUUCCAAGCUGUAUAUCUCCUUUUCUUCCCCAGAAAUCACAUCAUUCAUCUGAUCCGGGCUAUAUCUCUCCCAGCAAGAUAUGUAUGAAGAACGGAAAAGAAAUGAUUAGAAACAUUAAAAUAGAAAAGAAAAAUUGGAUGAUUUUGAGAAAGGAAUCAGAAGAUUUGUACAACCCACAGGGAGGGAGUUAUUCCUUCUCCCAACUUCCUGCUGUUGGAGUGGAGGCAUGUGACCUUGGCUGGCUGAUUAAACGCUCCAGCCUGGGUUUUGAAUAUGGAAGAACGUGCUGAGGUUGUGAGCUGAAAAGCAAAUGUGAAGACUCUGUGCUUUGCCAAACUGCAGCAUCAGUUAAGUAUACAAUGUUUACAAAUCUCUUGGAGCAUUGAUUGAGAAAGAAUGGGCUUCUUGGGACUGGAAUGGUUAUUUCACGUUGUAGCAUUUGGAAGAACUGGAGCUCUCCAAUCUCCAUAGCCUGCUGAGACUGAAACAAGCUAGUUUUCUUUGUCUAAAGGUACUGUUCCAGCUUGGCUUAAAGACACCAUGUUUCCCUUGCCUGUUUUGCAAAAGAACCUCCAUUUUCCCCAUUCCCUUCCCUCUCACCUCUUGUUUUGUCCAGACCCGUAGGUAGAGUCAGAUUGCAGGAUGCCUAUGGGUCUGAAGAAGUCUCACACACA